UUUCCCCUUUGAAAAUUGUAGUCUUGACCCACGGUCGAUAACGAAAGGCGCCGCGAUACCGUGUGUAGAGUGAAGGCAACAGCUAGCCUGUUUGCUGAUUGCAAAUACAGUUACAAAAACACAGACAGGGCAUGUCAGUUCUCUCUGCUUUUUGCUCCAUUUCUCAACGUGUUUCGCAUAAUUUGGGGACACCAUCAUCAAGACCUGGCCCUUUGGAAGAUCGUUUGGUCUCGAGCAUUCGUCUAUUAUGCCAGAAUUGUUUAAGAAGAUUUUCUUCUUUUAUGAUAUCGACAAGGGGUUUAAUGCACUCUGGUUUGAGAAAGCACUCUAUUAUUGCUUGAAACAAUGAACGAAAAGCAGAAUGCAAAAAAGGUGUUACAGGCCAGUCAGCCUGAAAUUCGCGAAGGAACAGUUUCAACAUCGGAGGCAACAGUCUUAAAACAAGCUAAAGUUAUAAACUUUCUAAAAGAAGGCAUCAAUCGCAAUGCUCGUUCGAAGUAAAAUGUCGUUUAAAAGCUUCAAUUUUAACGGGGUUCCAGAGUCUUAAGUGGAUGUUCAUCGGUUGCCAUUUCAAGCUCUUCCAAGACUGCAUCGUAUUCUUCAUCUACGCCUUUCUUAGGAAGUAUAGAACCUGCUUUUUUAGCUUCCUCUGGAUCGAAGGCUGACUGGAAAUUGUAAACGUACAAAUAGUUAAGUGUGACAAAAAAGUAAAUGUAAGUGAAAUAAUUCAUCAAGCACUUAUUACGAACCUUGAAAUAGUCUAGUGCGUUUCUCAAAUCUGGAAAAUCGCCUGCAGGUUCAAGAAGUGUGCAACGCUUAAUAAGAUGGCUGUUGAAUUCUAGAAAGACAAGAUUCAACCUUUUAUGAAAAAUAUGAUGUAACUAGUUACAAUAAAAAAAUUCUUAUCUAAAUAUGAAA